rnacentral:lncRNA from 1 species
UUAAGUGUUAAUUGCAAUCAAGUUAGCUAAUAGUUAAACCUAGACACCUACGGGUUUCUUACACCUAACAGUUUGAUGUAGAGUGGCUUAGUCUAGAUACAAAUUAGGUUUGUUCUCACUUUUUUCAACUAGCCAGGUAAGAGGUGAGAUCGUGAGGGUCCCCCCGUUGCUUGCCUUAGACACCAAUUGAAUUGGCCAGGUAAGCUAACGGAACCAAUUAAAUAACCACGAGUCCACUUAGGUAGAGCCUUUGUAACCUCUAGCCUUAGACAC